UCAGCAGCCGCGGUAAUACGGAGGAUGCGAGCGUUAUCCGGAAUUAUUGGGUUUAAAGGGUGCGUAGGCGGAAUGGUAAGUCAGCGGUGAAAUACUGCAGCUCAACUGUAGUUGUGCCGUUGAUACUGUCAUUCUUGAGUAUAGAUGAGGUAGGCGGAAUGAGUAGUGUAGCGGUGAAAUGCAUAGAUAUUACUCAGAACACCGAUUGCGAAGGCAGCUUACUAAACUAUAACUGACGCUGAAGCACGAAAGCGUGGGUAUCAAACAGGAUUAGAUACCCUGGUAGUCCACGCUGUAAACGAUGAUUCCUGGUUGUUUGGGCGCVAGAGCUCAAGCGCUGCGC
rnacentral:rRNA from 1 species